GCCUGGUUGGCUCAGUGGUUAGGCGUCUGCCUUCGGCCCAGAGUGUGAUCCUGGAGACCUGGGAUCGAGUCCCACAUCGGGCU
rnacentral:tRNA from 1 species